rnacentral:rRNA from 1 species
UACGUGGGGUGCAAGCGUUGUUCGGAAUUACUGGGCGUAAAGCGCGUGUAGGCGGCCUAUUAUGUCAGGUGUGAAAGCCCUCGGCCUAACCGAGGAAGUGCGCCUGAAACUGCUAGGCUUGAGUACGAGAGAGGAGGACGGAAUUCCCAGUGUAGAGGUGAAAUGCGUAGAUAUCGGGAGGAACACCAGUGGCGAAGGCGACUACCUGGCCUGUUCUUGACGCUGAGGCGCGAAAGCAUGGGGAGCAAAAGGG